ACCUGCGGAAGGAUCAUUAUUGAAUAAACCUGAUGGGUUGCUGCUGGUUCUCUAGGGAGCAUGUGCACACUUGUCAUCUUUAUAUCUCCACCUGUGCACCUUUUGUAGACCUGGAUAUUUUUCUGAAUGCUAGAGGCAUUCAGGUUUGAGGACUGACUACUUAUGUCUUUCCUUACAUUUCCAGGUCUAUGUUUCUUCAUUUACACCCAAUCUAUGUUAUAGAAUGUAACCAAUGGGCGUUUGUGCCUAUAAAAUUUAUACAACUUUCAGCAACGGAUCUCUUGGCUCUCGCAUCGAUGAAGAACGCAGCGAAAUGCGAUAAGUAAUGUGAAUUGCAGAAUUCAGUGAAUCAUCGAAUCUUUGAACGCACCUUGCGCUCCUUGGUAUUCCGAGGAGCAUGCCUGUUUGAGUGUCAUUAAUAUAUCAAUCUCAUCAGCUUUUGCUUGUUGAGUUUUGGAUGUGGGGGUAUAUUUUUUGUUGGCCUUUUCUUUUGAGGUCAGCUCCCCUGAAAUCUAUUAGCGGAACAAUUUGUUGACCGUUCAUUGGUGUGAUAACUAUCUACGCUAUUGACGUGAAGCAGGUUCAGCUUCUAACAGUCCAUUGACUUGGACAAUUCUUCAUUAAUGUGACCUCAAAUCAGGUAGGACUACCCGCUGAA
rnacentral:rRNA from 1 species